rnacentral:rRNA from 1 species
CGGAGGAAAAGAAACCAACAGGGAUUGCCCUAGUAACGGCGAGUGAAGCGGCAACAGCUCAAAUUUGAAAUCUGGCCCUCGGGUCCGAGUUGUAAUUUGUAGAGGAUGUUUCUGGCGACGUGUCUUCCGAGUUCCCUGGAACGGGACGCCAAAGAGGGUGAGAGCCCCGUCCGGUCGUACGCCUAGCCUCUGUGAAACUCCUUCGACGAGUCGAGUAGUUUGGGAAUGCUGCUCUAAAUGGGAGGUAUACGUCUUCUAAAGCUAAAUACCGGCCAGAGACCGAUAGCGCACAAGUAGAGUGAUCGAAAGAUGAAAAGCACUUUGAAAAGAGGGUUAAAUAGUACGUGAAAUUGCUGAAAGGGAAGCGCUCAUGACCAGACUUGGGCUCGGUUAAUCAUCCGGCGUUCUCGCCGGUGCACUUUGCCGGUCCAGGCCAGCAUCAGUUCGCCUCGGGGGAUAAAGGCUUCGGGAAUGUGGCUCCUCCGGGAGUGUUAUAGCCCGUUGUGUAAUACCCUGUGGCGGACUGAGGUACGCGUUCGCAAGGAUGCUGGCGUAAUGGUCAUCAGUGACCCGUCUUGAAACACGGACCAAGGAGUCGUCUUCGUAUGCGAGUGUUCGGGUGUUAAACCCCUACGCGGAAUGAAAGUGAACGUAGGAGAGAGCUUCGGCGCAUCUCCGACCGAUCCUGAUGUUCUCGGAUGGAUUUGAGUAAGAGCAUACGGGGCCGGACCCGAAAGAAGGUGAACUAUGCUUGUAUAGGGUGAAGCCAGAGGAAACUCUGGUGGAGGCUCGCAGCGGUUCUGACGUGCAAAUCGAUCGUCAAAUAUGAGCAUGGGGGCGAAAGACUAAUCGAACCUUCUAGUAGCUGGU